rnacentral:lncRNA from 1 species
CCUGAUGGGUUAGGACAGGACACAUUAUUUGAAAACCCAUUACAGAACCGGUGGGGAGGAGAUUUGAGAGAUGAGCUGUUCCUUUGAAUGCUUUCCUCGCCACUUUUUGGACUUUCGACUUUGGUUUUCUUGGGGCUUCUGGUAAUGACGAUAUCAGCAAGUGCUGCGUUUCCGCCAUUACCUUUUAAAAAAAAAAAAAACUAAUUUACCCUGCAAAGUUUGAAUGUUUAGAGAAUGUCUCUUUGGGACAAAGGUUUUAUGGGUUCUUUUGUUUUAUGUUUUGUUCCGUUGAGCUGUUGUGUUCAGGUUUCGAGGUUGAUAUUCUGUUCUUCCAUUUUUAUGUUUCUGUUGCAGGUCAGGGUUUACCAACAUAAACGUUAGAACGAAAUAGAAUUGGAGUUAAUGAAACAAGAAAGGGGAGUUUUC